UUCCAUCUCUCUCUUUCGGUGAAAAAUUUUUUAAAUGCUGUAAUUAUUAUUAUUUCAUUUCUUCAUUAUCUAAACGAGACAAAACAAAACCACCCCAAAUACUGCAAAACCGGUUUUUGCCAUUGAUUUCUUUCUCUUUGAUACCCCACCCUCCAUGAUCCCCUCUCAUUAGACCCACCAUUUUUAAAGAACGAACGCCCUUUUGUACCAUCUUUGAGCACAAAAUAUCCUUGAUUAACAGUAGCGGCAACACCGCAUCUUCGCAAUAUCACCAGGACACAAUGACCCACUUG
rnacentral:misc_RNA from 1 species